GGGGCUGUGACGCAGUGGUAGCGUGUUCCAUUCGCAUAACCAUCUACACUCUGUUGUAGAGAAUGUUGGAAAAGCCGUGUGUUCGAAUCAUACCUGCUCCA